rnacentral:rRNA from 1 species
UACAGAGGUCUCAAGCGUUGUUCGGAUUCAUUGGGCGUAAAGGGUGUGUAGGUGGCGCCGUUAGUCGGGUGUGAAAUUUCGGAGCUUAACUCCGAAACUGCAUUCGAUACUGCGGUGCUUGAGGACUGGAGAGGAGACUGGAAUUCAUGGUGUAGCAGUGAAAUGCGUAGAGAUCAUGAGGAAGACCAGUGGCGAAGGCGGGUCUCUGGACAGUUCCUGACACUGAGACACGAAGGCCAGGGAGCAAACGGG